AAGUGAAGUAAGUGGACUUUUUUGGACACAUGCCUAUUCAUAAAAUAGAGCCUUUAUUAACCUUUGUAAUUGAAACAAAAUAGAAUAAUUGUCUUUUCUGUUUUUUUCAGUGAUCGAUUUUCAUCUGAUUUUUGAGCUACAUACACCCCAAAGGCUCUUUUCAGAGCCAAGGCCCAUAUUACACAGCGUCUUUGCCUUUGUACAAGGAGAGGAGAACGCUCGUGCUGCUGGAGUCAUAGCAGAG